rnacentral:rRNA from 1 species
AGUCAGAGGCGAUGAAGGACGUGCUAAUCUGCGAUAAGCGUCGGUAAGGUGAUAUGAACCGUUAUAACCGGCGAUUUCCGAAUGGGGAAACCCAGUGUGUUUCGACACACUAUCAUUAACUGAAUCCAUAGGUUAAUGAGGCGAACCGGGGGAACUGAAACAUCUAAGUACCCCGAGGAAAAGAAAUCAACCGAGAUUCCCCCAGUAGCGGCGAGCGAACGGGGAGCAGCCCAGAGCCUGAAUCAGUGUGUGUGUUAGUGGAAGCGUCUGGAAAGGCGCGCGAUACAGGGUGACAGCCCCGUACACAAAAAUGCACAUGCUGUGAGCUCGAUGAGUAGGGCGGGACACGUGGUAUCCUGUCUGAAUAUGGGGGGACCAUCCUCCAAGGCUAAAUACUCCUGACUGACCGAUAGUGAACCAGUACCGUGAGGGAAAGGCGAAAAGAACCCCGGCGAGGGGAGUGAAAAAGAACCUGAAACCGUGUACGUACAAGCAGUGGGAGCACGCUUAGGCGUGUGACUGCGUACCUUUUGUAUAAUGGGUCAGCGACUUAUAUUCUGUAGCAAGGUUAACCGAAUAGGGGAGCCGAAGGGAAACCGAGUCUUAACUGGGCGUUAAGUUGCAGGGUAUAGACCCGAAACCCGGUGAUCUAGCCAUGGGCAGGUUGAAGGUUGGGUAACACUAACUGGAGGACCGAACCGACUAAUGUUGAAAAAUUAGCGGAUGACUUGUGGCUGGGGGUGAAAGGCCAAUCAAACCGGGAGAUAGCUGGUUCUCCCCGAAAGCUAUUUAGGUAGCGCCUCGUGAAUUCAUCUCCGGGGGUAGAGCACUGUUUCGGCAAGGGGGUCAUCCCGACUUACCAACCCGAUGCAAACUGCGAAUACCGGAGAAUGUUAUCACGGGAGACACACGGCGGGUGCUAACGUCCGUCGUGAAGAGGGAAACAACCCAGACCGCCAGCUAAGGUCCCAAAGUCAUGGUUAAGUGGGAAACGAUGUGGGAAGGCCCAGACAGCCAGGAUGUUGGCUUAGAAGCAGCCAUCAUUUAAAGAAAGCGUAAUAGCUCACUGGUCGAGUCGGCCUGCGCGGAAGAUGUAACGGGGCUAAACCAUGCACCGAAGCUGCGGCAGCGACACUAUGUGUUGUUGGGUAGGGGAGCGUUCUGUAAGCCUGUGAAGGUGUACUGUGAGGUAUGCUGGAGGUAUCAGAAGUGCGAAUGCUGACAUAAGUAACGAUAAAGCGGGUGAAAAGCCCGCUCGCCGGAAGACCAAGGGUUCCUGUCCAACGUUAAUCGGGGCAGGGUGAGUCGACCCCUAAGGCGAGGCCGAAAGGCGUAGUCGAUGGGAAACAGGUUAAUAUUCCUGUACUUGGUGUUACUGCGAAGGGGGGACGGAGAAGGCUAUGUUGGCCGGGCGACGGUUGUCCCGGUUUAAGCGUGUAGGCUGGUUUUCCAGGCAAAUCCGGAAAAUCAAGGCUGAGGCGUGAUGACGAGGCACUACGGUGCUGAAGCAACAAAUGCCCUGCUUCCAGGAAAAGCCUCUAAGCAUCAGGUAACAUCAAAUCGUACCCCAAACCGACACAGGUGGUCAGGUAGAGAAUACCAAGGCGCUUGAGAGAACUCGGGUGAAGGAACUAGGCAAAAUGGUGCCGUAACUUCGGGAGAAGGCACGCUGAUAUGUAGGUGAGGUCCCUCGCGGAUGGAGCUGAAAUCAGUCGAAGAUACCAGCUGGCUGCAACUGUUUAUUAAAAACACAGCACUGUGCAAACACGAAAGUGGACGUAUACGGUGUGACGCCUGCCCGGUGCCGGAAGGUUAAUUGAUGGGGUUAGCCGCAAGGCGAAGCUCUUGAUCGAAGCCCCGGUAAACGGCGGCCGUAACUAUAACGGUCCUAAGGUAGCGAAAUUCCUUGUCGGGUAAGUUCCGACCUGCACGAAUGGCGUAAUGAUGGCCAGGCUGUCUCCACCCGAGACUCAGUGAAAUUGAACUCGCUGUGAAGAUGCAGUGUACCCGCGGCAAGACGGAAAGACCCCGUGAACCUUUACUAUAGCUUGAC